CUCCAACGGAAGAAACCACCACCCUUGAUGAGGAAACUCUGACCACCUUGGAUGGCAGCAAGAAGCCACCACCGAAAAAGAAACCUCCAACGGAAGAAGCUGGAAUGCAUCAUUACGAUGUAAAGAUCAUAUCAGCAAACAUAGUAGUUGCAUUGUCUAUCUGGGGAAUAAAACAAAUAAAAGUGUAAUGAAAUAUCAAAGCUAGAGCAAAUCCAGUUACACUCACCAAAAAGAAUACACACAAGCAUGACUAUCUACCAUUCUCUCCGUAAUAAAAUUUCUCGACUUCUAUAAGGUCCCCAUGCAUCACGAUCUAUCAACCCAAUUAAAGAGCAUGCCACUCGUCGAGCGAUAUCUAAUCAUCUUAAUAUUUUCUAAACAGAAAAUAAU
rnacentral:lncRNA from 1 species